GAGGGUACAGCUCAAGUGGCAGAGCAGGUGCUUCGCAUGCAUAAGGUCCUGGGUUCAAUCCCCAGUGCCUCCU
rnacentral:tRNA from 1 species